UACGUAGGGGGCGAGCGUUGUCCGAAGUUACUGGGCGUAAAGAGUGCGUAGGCGGCUUGACAAGUUGCAUCUGAAAGGCGGCAGCUCAACUGACGAGUGCGGUGCAAGACUGUAAAGCUUGAGGCAAGCAAAAGAAUGUGGAACUCCGAGUGUAGCGGUGGAAUGCGUAGAGAUUCGGAAGAACACCCAUGGCGAAGGCAGCAUUCUGGGCUUGACCUGACGCUGAGGCACGAAAGCCAGGGGAGCGAACGGG
rnacentral:rRNA from 1 species